rnacentral:tRNA from 1 species
GGGAAUGUAGCUCAGUGGUAGAGCACUUGCCUGGCAUGUGUAAGGCCCUGGGUUUGAUCCCUAGCACCA